CUUCUAGGGCCAGGGGCAGAGGCCAGGCCGACGUCCCAGCACGAUGUUCUCCAACAGGUUCCACAGGAGGGGGUUCCAGGAUGCUGCCUGGGAGGAGGGGCCGUGGCAGCCCAGACCCUACGGUGCCGGCCCCCAGGACAACCGGUACAAGGCGUCCUGGGAGCACCAGCCCUGGAGAGGCAGGCACAACAGGCACCCACCCGGUCCCUGGAAGCCCUGGCCUUUCCCCGGCCCCGCCGACUUCUAUAGGAUGGAUGGGGACAGGAGAUGGACACCCCAGGACUGUCCCCGUCCGCCACCCCCCUGGGACUACAGAGAGGAGCACCAAAGACAGGAGGAAAACUUCACCGAGGACUCGUACCCGGUGCAGCCGCUGUUUGCCCCGGAUUCCUUCACCUGGUCGGAGUUCCCCGGCAACGAGCACCCCUCUGCCGACUUCUCGUGGGAGCAAGGGGCCUUCCAGGAAAGCUGCCCGCCCUGGCGUCCUCGUGGCCCAAGCCACAGACGCUGCCGUUACAUUCGCCAUGUCCAGCAGGAGACGUUGGUGUACCACAGCCCGGCCCCUCCCCAGCUCCCCAAAGGGAAGCAGGCGUCCUCCAAAUCCUCCCAGUCCUGCCCCCAGGAGAGCCAGCCAGGAGGCAAGGGAGAUGCGCAGAGCCUUGCUACUCCCCAGCCAGCUAGUGCCGGCAAGGACGGCGUGCAGAGCGGGGAGAAGGUGGCUGAGGGCCUGCCGGCAACCAGCGGAAAGGUGCCGGAGCCCUCCGGGCCAGCAGCCUCCCCGCAGAAGAGCCCAGCCGCUGAUCCUCAGGCUGUGGAGCAGGAGCCAGCAGCUGGAGCAAGGCUGGUUGAGCCAGAAGACAGGCAGAAAGCUGCAGGCAGCCAGAGCCCGGGCCCCUCUGCUUUGAAAACGGAGCCAGCCCUGCCAGAGAACACCUGUACCAGGACGGCGGAGGACUUGGAGCAGGUAGAGCCGUGCAGCCAAAGCGUCCCCGAGGCCGCAGCAGGUGCUGGGUCCCCACCCCACAGCACCUCAGCCCCCCAGGAGCCUGUGGAAACGGCCGGCGCCGCAGCGAGCCCGGGUGUGGAGGUCUCACCAGGAGCUGCUGAGGAGCCCGAUGCACAGCAAAGCCAAGCCAGCUCCAACGUCUGCAGCGAGCCAGCAGCAUCACCCAGGACAGAACACCCUCCUGGGGAUGGGACAGAGCUGGCUGCAGGCUGCCAGCCCUUGCUCUGCUCCAUGCUCCCCGCACCCUCCCCAGCCAGCACAGACCUGCGCUCCGCCGCUGUCCUUGCCAGGAAAGAGGAGAUCGAGCUGUCGUACCAGCAGUUCAGCCUGACCAUCGCCGUGGUGGCCACGAUGCUGCUGGAGAAGGAGCCCUCCAUGGAGGCAGCGCUGGGGCUGGCACUGAGGGCCAACCUGCGCCAGGUGCGCACCCACCACCUCCAGGAGCUGGAGGAUUUCAUCAACAGCUACGACUCUGGCACCCCCAGCCCCUAA
rnacentral:lncRNA from 1 species